rnacentral:rRNA from 1 species
AUGCACGCUGGCGGCGUGCCUAAUACCUGCAAGUCGCGCGCACAGACGAGGAGCUUGCUCCUCUGACGUUAGCGGCGGACGGGUGAGUAACACGUGGAUAACCUACCUAUAAGACUGGGAUAACUUCGGGAAACCGGAGCUAAUACCGGAUAAUAUAUUGAACCGCAUGGUUCAAUAGUGAAAGACGGUUUUGCUGUCACUUAUAGAUGGAUCCGCGCCGCAUUAGCUAGUUGGUAAGGUAACGGCUUACCAAGGCAACGAUGCGUAGCCGACCUGAGAGGGUGAUCGGCCACACUGGAACUGAGACACGGUCCAGACUCCUACGGGAGGCAGCAGUAGGGAAUCUUCCGCAAUGGGCGAAAGCCUGACGGAGCAACGCCGCGUGAGUGAUGAAGGUCUUCGGAUCGUAAAACUCUGUUAUUAGGGAAGAACAAAUGUGUAAGUAACUAUGCACGUCUUGACGGUACCUAAUCAGAAAGCCACGGCGAACUACGU